GACGGAGGGUGCAAGCGUUGCUCGGAAUCACUGGGCGUAAAGGGCGCGUAGGCGGCCUUCUAAGUCGAACGUGAAAUCCCCGGGCUCAACCCGGGAACUGCGUCCGAGACUGAAAGGCUUGAAUCCGGGAGAGGGAUGUGGAAUUCCAGGUGUAGCGGUGAAAUGCGUAGAUAUCUGGAGGAACAUCGGUGGCGAAGGCGGGUCUCUGGGCCGUAACUGACGCUGAGGAGCGAAAGCGUGGGGAGCGAACAGG
rnacentral:rRNA from 1 species